rnacentral:rRNA from 1 species
UUUAAUUGGAGAGUUUGAUCCUGGCUCAGAAUGAACGCUGGCGGCGUGCUUAACACAUGCAAGUCGAACGAGAAAGUUUUCUUCGGAAAACGAGUAAAGUGGCGCACGGGUGAGUAACGCGUGAAUAAUCUACCCCUGAAUUUGGGAUAACAGUUCGAAAGGGCUGCUAAUACCGGAUGACAUAACCCUUACCACGGUUUGGGUUAUCAAAGAGGGCCUCUCCUUGGAAGCUCUUGUUUGGGGAUGAGUUCGCGUACCAUUAGCUUGUUGGUGGGGUAAUGGCCUACCAAGGCUUCGAUGGUUAGCUGGUCUGAGAGGAUGAUCAGCCACACUGGAACUGACACACGGUCCAGACUCCUACGGGAGGCAGCAGUGAGGAAUUUUGCGCAAUGGGGGAAACCCUGACGCAGCAACGCCGCGUGAGUGAUGAAGGCUCUUGGGUCGUAAAGCUCUGUCAAGUGGGAAGAAACCUUCCUUAUUUAAUAGAUAAGGGAAUUGACGGUACCACUGAAGGAAGCACCGGCUAACUCCGUGCCAGCAGCCGCGGUAACACGGGGGGUGCAAGCGUUAUUCGGAAUUAUUGGGCGUAAAGGGCGCGUAGGC